rnacentral:RNase_P_RNA from 1 species
GCAGUCGGUCGGUUUGUCGCUACACACUAUAUAGUGUGUAGAGGAAAGUCCGGGCAGCAUAGAGCGCCAUACUUCUUAAUAGGAAGCUAUUUGCGAGAGUAGAGCAACGUAACAGAAAACAACCACCACCAUCUUUUGUAUAAGGAAGGGGGUAAGGGUGAAAAGGUGAGGUAAGAGCUCACCGGGCUUUGUAGUAAUACAGAGUGCCGUACGUCUUAUGGG